GGCUCGGUAGCUUAGUGGGAAAAGCACUUGUCUAGCGUAUAAGGGUCGUGAGUUCAAAUCUCACCUGAGCUG
rnacentral:tRNA from 1 species